CGCUCGUUCCUGAGGCCUUUCUCCCGUCAAGAUGCUCGCGUGAGCAGGUGAAAAAGAUGAGCGCAAAAUGAAGAACGGCAUUAAAUUGUUUUUUUAUGUCAGUAAAAUUACAACCAAGAUGUGCUGGCAAUACGUUAAAUUCGGCGAAUGCGUUUGAGAGGUUGCCCCAAGUCACAAGAAGUUUGCAAGGCUGCAUCAGCCAACAUUGAAAUGCGUAUCGCAAGCAGUCUAGCAUCGGUAUUCAAGGAAAAUGGGGGGCAGUUCCAAACAGGCUCUGGCACUUGCAUGCUCCAGAAGAGGCUUGCUUCCCCUGUUCUGCCCUGUGAAGAAGAGAUGGGAAACUCCUACUGAGAAUGAUGGAUGGACAAUGGAUGCAUUCUGUUACAAGACUUAACUCUUUGAUGUCAAGUGAUACCUGGGUAAUGGACAAAAUGGCGUCCAAGUGGUGUGCAUCUAAAACAGCAUCCGUUGCUGCAUGCUCCAGAAGAGGCUUGCUUCCCACGUUCUGCCCUGUGUGAAGAAGAGAUGGGAAACUCCUACUGAGAAUGAUGGAUACAUUCUGUCGCAGGACUCCAACCCAUCGAUGACCAAAGUUAUACCUGGAUAAUGGACAAGAUGACGUCCCAAUGCUGUGCAUCUGAAACUGCAUCCUUUGCGUGCUCAGUCUCCCAGAGAAACUUGCCUCCAGUGUCCUGCCCUGAGGAAAGAGGAUGAGAUGGCGAACUCCUACAGAAAGUGGGAUGGAAGAUGGAUACAUUCUGUUGCAAGGCUCCAACCCCCUUUGUAUUUGGUCCAGCUGCCUGGUGGCGGUCUACUUGGCGGUCUUGCUGCCGUUGUGACAAUGCAAGUUCGACUGGGUUUACAAUGUUGAGGUAUUGCCCUGCCGAGACAACAGAUGACACCAGGAUCACUUGAAGACAUUGACAAGGACUUGAGGAUGAUGCCGAUGCUUGUUGAAGAGCUUCCGUCGUGAAAAGAGCUGCUCCGCCAGGAGACGAUUUCAUUGUGUGGACUGUGUAUCCAUGGCUGUAUUUUGUGCCAAUGGCAAAUUAACUUUGAUUUGAUCUCCCAAAGUCGUCAAGUCAUGUAGGUGGUAUUCCUCUUGGCGUUGUCCUUGGACUCCCUUCUACUACAGUUCUCCCCCAAGUUAAAGUACUUUGACAACUGCUGAUGUGAAAAAAUGUUUUUUGAUAAUGAACUUUUGAAUUACCACCAAUAAAAAGUAAUGUGAUUGCAGCAUUUGAAUAAAGAAUGAAUGGUCA